rnacentral:rRNA from 1 species
AUUGAACGCUGGCGGCAGGCUUAACACAGGCAAGUCGAGCGGAGAUGAGGUGCUUGCACCUUAUCUUAGCGGCGGACGGGUGAGUAAUGCUUAGGAAUCUGCCUAUUAGUGGGGGACAACAUUCCGAAAGGAAUGCUAAUACCGCAUACGUCCUACGGGAGAAAGCAGGGGAUCUUCGGACCUUGCGCUAAUAGAUGAGCCUAAGUCGGAUUAGCUAGUUGGUGGGGUAAAGGCCUACCAAGGCGACGAUCUGUAGCGGGUCUGAGAGGAUGAUCCGCCACACUGGGACUGAGACACGGCCCAGGCUCCUACGGGAGGCAGCAGUGGGGAAUAUUGGACAAUGGGGGGAACCCUGAUCCAGCCAUGCCGCGUGUGUGAAGAAGGCCUUAUGGUUGUAAAGCACUUUAAGCGAGGAGGAGGCUACUGAGACUAAUACUCUUGGAUAGUGGACGUUACUCGCAGAAUAAGCACCGGCUAACUCUGUGCCAGCAGCCGCGGUAA